GUGCUCUCUUCAGCAGCGCAUAUACUAAAAUUGGAACGAUGUAGAGAAGAUUAGCAUGGCCCCUGCAUAAGGAUGACACGCAAAUUCAUGAGGCAUUCCAUAUUUUU
rnacentral:snRNA from 10 species